AUUGAACGCUGGCGGCAGGCUUAACACAUGCAAGUCGAACGCGUGGCGGACGGGUGAGUAAUGCUUGGGAAUCUGGCUUAUGGUGGGGGAUAACGACGGGAAACUGUCGCUAAUACCACGUACCCUAGGAUGAGCCCAAGUGGGAUUAGGUAGUUGGUGGGGUAAGGGCCUACCAAGCCGACGAUCUCUAGCUGGUCGGAGAGGAUGACCAGCCACACCGGGACGGAGACACGGCCCGGACUCCUACGGGAGGCAACGGUGGAGAAUAGUGCGCAAUGGGAGCAACCUGACGCGACCAUGCCGCGUGAAGGAAGAAAGCCUGCGGGUUGGAAAGUUCUUUCGGUGACGAGGCGUUAUUCACAGAAGAAGCACCGGCUAACUCCGUGCCAGCAGCCGCGGUAAUUC
rnacentral:rRNA from 1 species